rnacentral:rRNA from 1 species
GACGAACGCUGGCGGCGUGCUUAACACAUGCAAGUCGAACGGAAAGGCCCUGCUUUUGUGGGGUGCUCGAGUGGCGAACGGGUGAGUAACACGUGAGUAACCUGCCCUUGGCUUUGGGAUAACUUCAGGAAACUGGGGCUAAUACCGGAUAGGAGCUCCUGCUGCAUGGUGGGGGUUGGAAAGUUUCGGCGGUUGGGGAUGGACUCGCGGCUUAUCAGCUUGUUGGUGGGGUAGUGGCUUACCAAGGCUUUGACGGGUAGCCGGCCUGAGAGGGUGACCGGCCACAUUGGGACUGAGGUACGGCCCAGACUCCUACGGGAGGCAGCAGUGGGGAAUAUUGCACAAUGGGCGGAAGCCUGAUGCAGCAACGCCGCGUGCGGGAUGCCGGCCUUCGGGUUGUAAACCGCUUUCGCCUGUGACGAAGCGUGAGUGACGGUAAUGGGUAAAGAAGCACCGGCUAACUACGUG